UUUUGCCUUUAAAGUAAAGAUGCAAUUCUUAGGCAGUGAUUGUAGACAUGUCAGCUUUAUUAGAGACAGCAGUAUUACAAACUCGUGUUAUUAUUUCAUCUUCAAUUCACUUUUGUGUUUGGUUUAUGCUUUUCAGAGCUUAAACUUUUGGUUAGAUAUGGAAGAUUGGCCUAAGCUGUCGGUGUUUGUGAUAGGGACCUAACCUGAGCAUCCUAAGUUAUUGUUUUGAGAGUUUACAAAAGAAACCAAUGGCUACAAUUACUGGUUUUGUCUGUUUGUUUCUCACCUGUGAAAUUGUCUUUUAGAAGUGGGAUCCACUAUUCAUUAAACAAAAAACAAUUGCUAAGGCUUCCUUCUCUACUUUCUUGCUAAGCUGGUGCUUGCUUCUUCAAAUUAGGAAUCAAUCCGAAGGAACACCUUUCUCUGUUCUUCGCCGCUGGCAAUUUUCAUAGCCUCUUCAAUGGCUUUGUGCACAUAGCUUUUUAAACUGUAAAAACAAUAUGGACGGUGCUUCUCGAUAUGAAAGGAACAUCUACAAAUAUAAUUCUCGGAUUGCAUUUUGUUCCGCACUUCUCCGUACCAAGUCGAAUCAAGUUUUUGCUGGUGAAGCAUAGACGAUGGUUCUAAAGGAAGCCCUUUCGUGGGUCAUUCAGAUGUUGUCUUGUCAACAGAACAGUGACAAAUAAUAUUGCUACUUUUGAGCAGUUUAGUGCUCUGAUUAGCGAAAGUAUUGAUAAAACUUGUUACUUGCUAAAAAUUGGUUUUAGUGCUAAGAAAAGACAGAAAAUGGGAAAUAAAAU